rnacentral:rRNA from 1 species
AGUGAACGCUGGCGGUAGGCCUAACACAUGCAAGUCGAACGGCAGCACAGUAAGAGCUUGCUCUUACGGGUGGCGAGUGGCGGACGGGUGAGGAAUACAUCGGAAUCUACUUUUUCGUGGGGGAUAACGUAGGGAAACUUACGCUAAUACCGCAUACGACCUACGGGUGAAAGCAGGGGAUCUUCGGACCUUGCGCGAUUGAAUGAGCCGAUGUCGGAUUAGCUAGUUGGCGGGGUAAAGGCCCACCAAGGCGACGAUCCGUAGCUGGUCUGAGAGGAUGAGAAGCCAAACUGGAACGGAGACACGGUCCAGACUCCUACGGGAGGCAGCAGUGGGGAAUAUUGGACAAUGGGCGCAAGCCUGAUCCAGCCAUACCGCGUGGGUGAAGAAGGCCUUCGGGUUGUAAAGACCUUUUGUUGGGAAAGAAAAGCAGCAGGUGAAUACCCCGCUGUUCUGACGGUACCCAAAGAAUAAGCACCGGCUAACUUCGUG